GACGGAGGGCGCGAGCGUUGUUCGGAAUCACUGGGCGUAAAGCGCGCGCAGGCGGACUGGGCAAGUCGGCAGUGAAAUCCCGGGGCUCAACUCCGGGACGGCUGCCGAAACUGCGAGUCUGGAGACCGGUAGAGGUGGGUGGAAUUCCCGGUGUAGCGGUGGAAUGCGUAGAGAUCGGGAAGAACACCUGUGGCGAAGGCGGCCCACUGGGCCGGUUCUGACGCUGAGGCGCGAAAGCGUGGGGAGCAAACAGG
rnacentral:rRNA from 1 species